GAACUAAGUCGGUACAUCAUGAGGCUCUUAAUCUCAGGGCUGUGGGUUCAAGCCCCAUGUUGGGCA